CAUCUCCGGCUACGACAUCCCUGAGGGCACAGUCAUCAUUCCGAACCUCCAAGGCGCCCACCUGGAUGAGACGGUCUGGGAGAGGCCACAUGAGUUCUGGCCUGAUCGCUUCCUGGAGCCAGGCAAGAACUCCAGAGCUCUGGCCUUCGGCUGCGGUGCCCGCGUGUGCCUGGGCGAGCCGCUGGCGCGCCUGGAGCUCUUCGUGGUGCUGACCCGACUGCUGCAGGCCUUCACGCUGCUGCCCUCCGGGGACGCCCUGCCCUCCCUGCAGCCCCUGCCCCACUGCAGUGUCAUCCUCAAGAUGCAGCCUUUCCAAGUGCGGCUGCAGCCCCGGGGGAUGGGGGCCCACAGCCCGGGCCAGAGCCAGUGAUGGGGCAGGACCGAUGCCAGCCGGGUACCUCAGUUUCUCCUUUAUUGCUCCU
ensembl:lncRNA novel transcript